GCUCCCCCAGGCGCACCUUCCCCUCCAGCCACCCCAGACCCUGGCUUUCUGUUCCCCCAGAGCAUCCUGUCCUGUUCCCACAGGGCCUUGGCAUGUGCUCUCUCCGCCUUAGGAUGCCCUCACCCUUGGUUUCCCUCGCUGGGUCCUGUGUUCAGGGUCCGUCCGUGGGGCAGCGCGUGUCGGCGACUCGCUCCCGUUCGGGGCCGAGUGACGUUCCGUGAAAUGGAUGGCGAUCAUCUGUUGAUGGACAUCUGGGUUGUUCCCACUUUUGGUUACGGGAAGUGUCCAUAACGUAUGGAUGACAGCCUCACUCUCCAGUCCCACCAGCUGUGUGUGAGGGUUCUGACUUCUCCAUGUCCUGGACGUUACUUGUCACCGUGUGUCUGCUUGAUUCUAGCCGUCCUCGUGGGCGUGAAGUGGUGUCUUGCUGGGGUUUUGAUUUGUGUUUCCUGAUGAUCAGUGACGCGGAGCACGUGUUCCUGGGCUUGCUGGCCAUCUGUACGUCCUCCUGCGGAGAAAGCUUUCUGGUUCCAUCCGCUCUGUGGGCUUAGAUUUCUGCUGCGUCUCGUGUUCCGAGUGCAUACGGUGUGAGGUAGGGCCCGACGUCCCUCCUCGUGUGUGGAAACCCAGUUGUCCCAGAGCCGCCGGCCGGGAAUGUGCAUGUUUAGUUCUGGAUUCCCACCGAUGUAUCCUGGGCCAUUCCGGGGCGUCCAGACGGGCGUCCCCGUCUAUCUGCGCCCGGACCACAUUGCCUUGAUUACCGAGGCUUUGCAGCCCGUUUUGAAAUGGGGAAACGUGAAUCUUCCAACUCUG